rnacentral:lncRNA from 1 species
ACAGGAAAGGUGGAUUUAUGACGGAAGUUGGGAUGACAAAUCCAGUAUUUCUGUAGGACACUAUUAUAUACAUUUAUAACAUUGGGCUACUAGAUUGUUACCUCCAAUUAAAGAUGCACCUUAAUGCAACAAAAUGAUGCUCUGUUCCAAAUCAAGCUGUUAAAUGUCAAUGUUUACUCAGUAAGUGUAUGUUCAGUGGCUGAACAAACAUUGUCAGUUUGCAUCAAGUUGCUAACUAUGAGAGACUCCACAGGCCUAGUACAUGUGAUGACAGCUAUAUUGAUGAGGUUGAGCAUUUUUUUGGAAAAGAAAUUAUUCCUUGUUACUUCACCUGCUUUUUGAUGCAGACUACAAACGAGUUGGUCUCCCCAUGCAGUGGGCAGAACAGUUGCGUUGGCACACUGAAUAUGAGCAACUCCAAAGGCAACUUUUGAAGGUAUUCAGUUCAGGCAAUGAGAAUUGGCCUGAGUCAUUGAGUAUAUAUCACACCAGAGCUUCACCUGAGCAUGCAGAAGUGUGGAUGUUCCUGGCCCCCUGGAGUAACAGAGGUAGCUGGCACAAACCUCGCUCUCAGCAUCCCAACAGGCCAAGUGUUGCUUGCAGGCAGGAGAUGAAACAAAACAGAGUGAUUCACAGUGGGAAAACCUUGAUGGACUGA